CCAGUUUUUGGUGAACUGCUUUCCCCAAUAUUCAAGUAACUGAUAGUAUAGUUCUACUGUCUCAAGCGGUGAUCAAACACAGGUCGUCGCGACAAACUUGCCCUGGUUUGGCUAGCUAGUUAGCUAACAUUUAUUCCUUGAUCAGGACUCUGUUUCAUUAUUACAUUACACAUAACGAGUCAUUGGACGAAGGCGUCUUCUGUGCGGGGGAGUAUUUUGUAACGACACUCGGUCUGAACAUGAAAACGAUUCGCUUGCGGUACGAUUUUGCAAGCAUAGUGACCUUGUCUUUAAUAUCAAAGAUAAAUAUUUUCCAAACAAAAGGUUAAAUUGUUCCCACACGGCCAUAUUUCCAUGUUAACGUUAGCUGUCUGCGUAAACAAACACUAUCUGCGAAUCCGAACACCUGUGUUAACGGAAGACAAACGACACAAACAUGUUGUCACUGAAAAAUACUGUCCGCUGCAACUGUUAAACCGCUACAGAGGUGGUGUGAUAGAACACAGGACUGAGAAGACCUGCAGUUGUCUGAGUGGCUUCUUCUUUCUGCUGUGGCAUCAUGGGAAAGCAGGCGUGUCUACGAUAUACCUCUUCUACCUCGCUCCCUCCUCUCUCCCUCCCUCUGAUGCCGGGGUUCAGUAGUGGGCGACUAGGUGGGGAGGUGGGUGGCCCCGCCUCCUCUCCCCCCUGCCCGUUCCGACCCAGUCGCUACGUUCCCGUCUCUGCGGCCACCUCUUUCCUGGUCGGCUCCACCACGCUCUUCUUCUGCUUCACGUGUCCGUGGUUGUCAGAGCAUGUUUCCUCCGUCAUUCCCAUCUAUAACGCUGUGGUCUUCCUCUUCACCCUCGCCAACUUCUGCAUGGCCACCUUUAUGGACCCAGGGGUCUUUCCCAGAGCGGAAGAGGAUGAGGAUAAAGAGGAUGAUUUCCGCGCUCCGCUAUAUAAAACGGUGGAGGUUAAGGGCAUUCAGGUCCGGAUGAAGUGGUGUUCCAGCUGCCGUUUCUACAGACCGCCCCGCUGCUCACACUGCUCUGUGUGUGACAACUGUGUGGAGGACUUUGACCACCACUGCCCGUGGGUGAACAACUGUAUUGGGCGCAGGAACUACCGUCACUUCUUCCUGUUCCUGUUGUCCCUGACGAUCCACAUCAUGGGUGUGUUUGGCUUCGGCCUGCUGUACAUCCUCCAGCACCAGCACCAGCUGGACAGUGUUCACUCCUCUGUCACUAUGGCUACGAUGUGUACAGCUGGCCUGUUCUUCAUCCCAGUAGCAGGUCUUACUGGUUUCCACAUGGUACUGGUAGCUCGGGGUAGGACCACUAACGAGCAGGUCACAGGGAAGUUUAGGGGCGGGGUUAACCCUUUCACCAAUGGCUGCCUGAGGAACGUCUCACACGUGCUCUGUAGCUCUCAGGCUCCCAGGUACGUGGGGCGGUGGCGGGGCAAGCAGACAGUGGAGGUGCAGCCUCCCUUUCUCCGCCCUCCUCUCUCCGAGGCGCAGCUAGAGGCCAAAGUCCUGGACAACGGCAUCCAGAACGACCACCACAGCACCCGGUCUAAGAGCAGUUUAGAGCAGAUGGAGAGCCAGUCAGCAGAUGCAGAGCCUUCACCUGCUCCCAAACCGGAGGUCCGCUACCCUGGCCUGCCCCGCGCGGACACCGAGGAAAGCAGCCUGCUGUCUGAAGGCCCGUCCACUCCCUCUAUGUACAAGUACCGGCCGGCCUAUAGCAGCCCACAGAGGAACCACACAGCUCUGACGCACCCAAACAAGAUGAUUCGUGGGGACAGUCUGGACUCUCCCUCCAUUCUCCAGUCAAGUCGCCAGCCCAGCUAUCGGUCUGAGCCCAGCAGCCUGGAUGGGGGGUCGGUAAUUGGUUUGGCGGCACGUGGAGGGGAGAGGGGCGAGGGCCCCGGGGGGUCCAGUGGGACGGGUGGGGAGGUUGCGGGGGGCAUCUCCGGGUACUCCCUAGGGGGGCGGUCGUACACUUCCUACCCCUCCUCUCUGGUCCUGUCCACCGGUGGCUCUCACUCCUCCAGCAUGCGCUCUGCCCACACACACCAUAAUACGCUGGGCACGCUCCAAUCAGAGGGCACCACCGACACCAGCUACAAGAGCCUGGCCAAUCAGACACCUCAGAACGGCAGCCUGUCCUACGACAGCCUGCUGACGCCGUCCGAGAGCCCCGAGUUUGAGUCGGCCGCUCACGAGCUGUCCCCACAGAAGCCCCAUGCCCCUGCAGCGUUUCCCCCGACGAUGACCUCCUCGCCGCCCCUCGGGGUCAGGGACGUUCCCUUGCAGGGGUACACCUCACCCUUCCUCUCAGCACAGAUGGCCCAGCAGAGAGAGGGCCAGCUGCUCCAGGGCUCUGCCUCUUUCUCCUCCCCCAACAGGGCAUACCUCCGCGCCGUCAGCCCUCCCCCGCCGAAUCCCCCACACGCUGCCCACCCCGAGACACAGCACCACCUCCUCCACCAGGACUCCAGACACCCACACUUCCGUGCCACCUCCUCCAUUCGUCCCCUUCCUCCCGUCUCUGAACAGCCCUCCCCCUCCUCCCCGCAUGCCUGUUCCCCAGACCCCCCUGUGUCUCCCCCGCCCAGAGGCCCCUCCCUAGGGAAGUCCCCCUCCUACACCGGGGAGGCAGGGCUCCAGCACAAGGCUCGGCCAAUGGGAGGAGGCAGUUUGUCGGGAGAGGGCGGAGUCGGAGUGACCCAGGCUCCACAGUGAGUAGAGAUCUGAGCCACGAGCCUGCUACUCUUCAUCCUCUUCCUCCCUGAUUGAUCUAUAUGAGCCCUCUUCCUCCCUGAUCUGUAUCCACCUCUCGCCCAGGCUUGGCCAAUCACAGCACAUCCAAACCAGUUGGGGGGGUGAAAAAAGUGACUGGCGUUGGAGGGACCACCUAUGAGAUAUCGGUUGGAGUGCCAGACAUCCGCCCCAGCCGACGAUAGAAAGAAGAUUGUUCCACUGGACAGAUUCCAGUGCUCUUACUCUGAGGAGACUAUGGAGAUGGUUAUUCACUCACGUGCACACACACAAUGAAAGGACUAUCCUCUGUUCUUGGUCAAUAUGGAGUGGAUAGUGGAAUAGAAGUGGUACUUCAAUGACCUUAGUAUCUUUAUAAUGACACUGGCCAUCUUUUACUGACGAUCAUUUAUAUUGGAUCAAAUGGCGACUGAAGUGAAACUCUGAAUGUUGAUCAGUAAUGGAAUGGGUCAACCUCUCCGCAGUCUGUGAGCCAUAGACUGUAUAACAGGAACCUUGUUCUGACAGCUGGGUACUAAACUCUAUAACGCAUAUAUACAAAGAUGAUUUAUUUCGGUACGUUAGUACAUGGAGAAUUUAUCCGAUAAAAUGUAAUCCUGGAAAGGAGGGUAUUUGAGCCAAUCGGUAUGGAGCCUGAGAGGGCGCAUAUGGACUGGUGACCAAUUGUGGCGCUCAGUGGUUCAAGACUUCCUGUCCCAUUCAAAUGGAUGGACCAAUCACAAUGGAUCACCACUCCACAGUAGUCACUAAUGUAAUUAGUCUGCAGCGAAUAUUCAGACUGCAGAGAUGAUGCCUCAACCCCUGCAAACACAGUUUCAUUUGAGUUUUAUAAAGCUUUUGUUUUUUUGUUUUUUAUAUAUAUAUAUAUAUAUAUAUAUAAAUGCCUAAAGAAUCUUUAAGAAUUAUUGGGUCAAUUGUUCAGAUGCUGGAGAUAGCGUUUUGGGGUUUGUCAAUGACUAAGAAUGUGAGUUAGACUAAUUGCUUGUUUUGAUUGAUGGCUGUAUCAGCCAGUCAUAGAGCUCGCUGCAGUUCUCAUCCAAAGAGAUUGGUGAUCCUAUAUGACGGCCAGCUGAAGAGGCCUGUCACUGAGGAUGUUGAAAGCCACAUAGAAAAUGUUUAUUCUGAAUCAUAAAUACAGUACAAGCCUCUUCAUGGAAUGUCCACUAGAAAUGUUUAUUAUUGAUACAUUAUGUGAAAUCUCUCUUCGAAGCUUUUAAAUGAUUUGCCUGUCAUUUUGUCUGUCAAUCAGUGCUAGAAAAACUUUAAGGAUGGUCAGCCAAACAUGUUAAGAGUGUGAGGGGGCAUAUUUAUUUUACUGGACAGGAAAACCUUUGAGUUCUGAACACAAUUCCAAACCAAUCUCUAUAUCCAGGAAUUGGAAGAAGUUGCCCCUACACAUUGAGGCCUUUUGCCCCUAAUUGUUAAGGCACUAAAGGAGGGGAAGCUGAUUCUAAAUGUAUUCCCAGAAGGGGAAACUUCUACCCAGAGACCACAUCCCUAUCAUAGUGCCUUGUCCUUAGAUUCUAAUAUAAUUGGAAAAUUCCAACAUAUCAAAUUCUGGGGGGUGAUAUAAAUAUAGGUAUGCUGUAGUAACUUUUCUUUGUUCAUAGAUGUAUGACAUGUCUAGGAGGGGACAGAUGUCAGGGUUGGUUUGAAAUUGAGGACUGUUUUGAUCAGUUUUUGCCUUGAGACCAUUCGUAGUAAAACAAAGCGGUUUUUUUUACAUAUAUUUUAAAGUAUUUCUUACAACUAUAACCAGGUAAGAAUUUUAUAUUUUAAUUGGUUUUGUUGACGUUCUGGCCUCUUGAUUUCCUUAUCUGCUUUCUGUUUUUUUUAUCUCUUUAUGGUACAGUUAACAUUUUGCACAUGAAUAUGUUUAGGAAGGCACAGUCAGAAACAGGAGUGUGUGGUUGAGAGGAGAAGGUGGUAUGUUUAAUCCAAGCCCACUACAUAGUUGGAUUGUCAAAGCUAGCUGAAUGUAGCACGUUUUAUGUUCAGGGAAUUCUGAAGCACACAAACUAUCAACCAAUCACACAGCAGUGUGGCCACAGUCAGUGUUUGUAUGCAACCCUAACCCCCCCCCCCCUCGCCAUGUGUACAGUAGGUGUGAUUGUGUGUUGUGUUGAAUGCACUCCCAGUGUGUGUGUGAGAAUAUCCUCGUCAAAUGCACACCUGGUUGAUAUGAGUACAAGCAGUCAAACAUACAGGGCUAGAGAGAGUCUUACUUUCUCCUGGUGGGGAAGGGGGCUUUGAACAACAGAAUAUACGUGAGUAAAUAAGAAUGCUGCUAUUGUUGUGGGCUAUGCUGAAUGGAGAGUGUCGGAAAUAUUUCUGAUGAAUAUGUAGAAGACAUUUCCAAAAUGGCCUUAAAAGUUUAAGGUGUCUUCUCAGAAUAAAAGGUCAACCUGA